rnacentral:rRNA from 1 species
AACGAACGCUGGCGGCAUGCCUAACACAUGCAAGUCGGACGAGACCUUCGGGUCUAGUGGCGCACGGGUGCGUAACGCGUGGGAACCUGCCCUUAGGUUCGGAAUAACUCCCCGAAAGGGGUGCUAAUACCGGAUAAUGUCUUCGGACCAAAGAUUUAUCGCCUUUGGAUGGGCCCGCGUUGGAUUAGCUAGUUGGUAGGGUAAAAGCCUACCAAGGCGACGAUCCAUAGCUGGUCUGAGAGGAUGAUCAGCCACACUGGGACUGAGACACGGCCCAGACUCCUACGGGAGGCAGCAGUGGGGAAUAUUGGACAAUGGGCGAAAGCCUGAUCCAGCAAUGCCGCGUGAGUGAUGAAGGCCUUAGGGUUGAAAGCUCUUUUACCCGGGAUGAUAAUGACAGUACCGGGAGAAUAAGCUCCGGCUAACUCCGUG